rnacentral:rRNA from 1 species
UACGGGGGGGGGCAAGCGUUGUUCGGAAUUACUGGGCGUAAAGGGCUCGUAGGCGGCCAACUAAGUCAGACGUGAAAUCCCUCGGCUUAACCGGGGAACUGCGUCUGAUACUGGAUGGCUUGAGGUUGGGAGAGGGAUGCGGAAUUCCAGGUGUAGCGGUGAAAUGCGUAGAUAUCUGGAGGAACACCUGUGGCGAAAGCGGCGCACUGGACCACAACUGACGCUGAGGCGCGAAAGCUAGGGGAGCAAACAGG